UGUAAUCGAGGGCUAUAGAUGCAUUUUCUCAGUAACCGAUGGCCAUACAUAUAUAUGUGAUGGCUACAGGUGCAUUUUAAAUGGAGAGUAGUCGUUGCCAUUUAAGCGGGCAACGUCUAUUCUAAAGUAGAGAGAGCAUUAGCUAACCAGACGAUCAAGAUCGCAUGAUAAAUUUAUGCUUCUGUAACUGAGCUUCUAUGGACCCUACAUAAACGUAAUGCUUAAACACUUAGUGCAAAAUUUAUUGCAUAACGAGGUGCGAACUACGUCUUUAAUCAUGGCGAAAAAAUUCUCGGUCGCUUUCCUGGUUUUCUGGGGCCUAGCUUUGUCUUCUGACUGCGAUCAAACCAGGUAAACAAAGGUGGCUGCAAUCUGUGGAGUGUUCAAGUGAUAUGAAUGUAAUGAUGGAUGUAGCCAAAUCUGUGGACAUUGUCUUGCUUCUUAUGGAAGGAAGUUAUGGGUUUGAAAUGCUGAGUACUACAACUUGUGCAUGGAUAUUUGUAAAAUGGUUAAAUGUAUAAUUUCAUUGUUAGGUUCUCUUAGCAUUGAUAAUCAACAGCUCUUUCCAGCAAUACAAGUUUCAAAGUGUAUUUUUAAGGAGCAUAUUGGUAUGGUACAUAAUAUGUAAUUUGAACUCAAUUAUAUCAGAUACUUUUGUCUUCAUGUAUUUUUAA